UACGUAGGGCGCGAGCGUUGUCCGGAUUUAUUGGGCGUAAAGAGCUCGUAGGCGGCUUGUCGCGUCGACUGUGAAAACCCGCAGCUCAACUGUGGGCUUGCAGCCGAUACGGGCAGGCUAGAGUUCGGUAGGGGAGACUGGAAUUCCUGGUGUAGCGGUGAAAUGCGCAGAUAUCAGGAGGAACACCGGUGGCGAAGGCGGGUCUCUGGGCCGAUACUGACGCUGAGGAGCGAAAGCGUGGGGAGCGAACAGG
rnacentral:rRNA from 1 species